rnacentral:lncRNA from 1 species
AUGAGGGGAAGCCGAGAGUCACGUGAGGUCAGGGCAGACAGGCUAAUCAGAGAGGCUGACCUCCAGGGCUGGUUCCCUAGCCUGUUUCUCUGCACACUGCUGGCCACUGCCCUGGACCCUUCAGAGCUGGACAGACCUGAGUGGUCAUCUCCAUCCAUGUUCCCAGGCUGCCAGCGAGCUUCCUGGAGGCUCAUGGGUCGGAGCCCACGUGCCCAGAUCGCAAGGACAGGCGAGGAGGGGUAAUGAAUGGCCUAUGUUGUGGGUGGAUAAUGAACUGUUUGCUGGGACUAUGUCCUCACUUAAUCGGCUAUUUUCACAAGCAGCCUAGGGACACAGCAAUUGUCAAAUCGCUGUGAUUGGCUGCCUCUUGUCCUCCACCAGGCUGCCUUUGGGGGACACUGCAGGGUCCCUGUAUGCAUGGAAAGGUGGUCCGUUUCCCUGUCUCUGUCAAUAGGAGAUGGUGGGAGGAGCCAGGAAACAGCAAGCAGUAGGAGGCUAGACCCUCUGACCACUGAGCAAACAGAGCAGAAGCUCAGGCAGAGGCCUGAAGGAAGAGCGUAGAGGUAUUUUCUGCCUGUACAUCCCAGGCUGGGCACUGGACAUGAAGGGUCUCUGAAGGAAAAGGUGGAAGGAGAGGAAUAUUUAUGUGCUGGACACAUUUCUUGCUUCCUCUACAGCCUUAAGAUUGAUUUAGACCAAGCAAGCCUGGGAGAGGGAGGGGGUGAAUCUUUUCUGGACACACAUCCAGACAUCGGGUCCAAUUUAGAGUGCAUUUAAGGCAACUCGGCAGACUCUAAUCUAAUCUCAGGAUCAGAGUGAACUACUAGCCUGGGAAUCACAAGGGCUUGAAGAGUUCCUUGCUAUUGCUAAGAAGAGAGAAAGCGAGGGAAAGAUUGUGAACUAAAUUUAUUGAACAUCCAUGCCACGUGCCCGGCACCUUACAGAUGUUUGCAUUUCAUUAUUAUGCUUGCUUUGCUGAAGAGGACACUGAGGUUCCGAGGGUCACCUGCAUUCCCCCUGGUCACACAGUGGGCAGUUGUAAGAGUGAAAUUCGUGGAAAUGGUUGAAGCGGCAGUAAUGAAGCCACAGCCUCUCUAUGUGCUCAGAAUUGUACAUACUUAUUUCAUUUAAUUGUCCCACAACCAAGCAAGGUCUCACUCCAACUGUGCAAAUUAAGGAUCUCAGAAUGUUUCAAACAGAAAGAGACUUGCAGACACAGAGGACAGACUUGUAGUUGCCAAGGAGGAGGGGAGAGGGCGUGGGAUGGAUGGGGCGUUUGGGGUUGGUAGAUGCAAACUAUUCCAAUUAGAAUGGAUGAGCAAUGACGUCCUGCUAUACCGCACAGGGAACUAUAAUAUCCAGUGUCUUGGGAUAGACCAUGAUGGAAGAUAAUAUGAGAAAAAGGAUGCAGGAGUUGCUGUUGUGGUUCAAUGGAAACGAACCCGACUAGUAUCCAUGAGGAUGCAGGUUCAGUCUCUGGCCCAGCUCAGUGGGUUAAGGAUCUGGUGUAGCUGUGAGCUGCAGAGCAGGUCGAAGAUGCGGCUCCGAUCUGGCGUUGCUGUGGUUGUGGUGUAGGCUGCUAGCUGUAGCUCUGAUUUUUGACCCUUAGCCUGGGAACCUCCAUAUGAAACACCUGUGGCCCUAUAAAUGAAUGAAUGAAUGAAUGAAUGAAUAAAUAAUAAACAAUAACUGUAUCUACA